rnacentral:rRNA from 1 species
GACGAACGCUGGCGGCGUGCCUAGUACAUGCAAGUUGAGCGCUGAAGGUUGGUACUUGUACCAACUGGAUGAGCAGCGAACGGGUGAGUAACGCGUGGGGAAUCUGCCUUUGAGCGGGGGACAACAUUUGGAAACGAAUGCUAAUACCGCAUAAAAACUUUAAACACAAGUUUUAAGUUUGAAAGAUGCAAUUGCAUCACUCAAAGAUGAUCCCGCGUUGUAUUAGCUAGUUGGUGAGGUAAAGGCUCACCAAGGCGAUGAUACAUAGCCGACCUGAGAGGGUGAUCGGCCACAUUGGGACUGAGACACGGCCCAAACUCCUACGGGAGGCAGCAGUAGGGAAUCUUCGGCAAUGGACGAAAGUCUGACCGAGCAACGCCGCGUGAGUGAAGAAGGUUUUCGGAUCGUAAAACUCUGUUGGUAGAGAAGAACGUUGGUGAGGGUGGAAAGCUCAUCAAGUGACGGUAACUACCCAGAAAGGGACGGCUAACUACGUG